rnacentral:lncRNA from 1 species
UGUUUAGCAGUGUUAGCUGCUUCAGAGUUAGUCCAGAGCUAGCCAGAGGUGAGUGGAACUAACCCUUAUGUUUUAAAUCAAAUGUUUUCAGCAUAUUCAAGCAUGUUCAUGCAUCAUGAAUACCAUGUUAUGCAAUAGGUUGUUUGCAUUAGGAUUCACGAAUAUGAUGCAUUGCAUAAUAUGAUGAUAAUGAUGUGGAUGGAUACUGGAUGAUCCUCUAGCCCUCAGUAUGUUAUGACAUGAUAUAAAAUGAUAUGAUAUGGCAUGUACGAUAUGAUAUGAGAUGAGAAGUCCAGGUGUGGCCGUAUCGCCCCUGGCAUAGAGCAUGAGAAGUCCAGGUGUGGCCGUAUCGCCCUUGGCAUAGAGCAUAUGAAGUCCAGGCGUGGCCGCAUCGCCCCUGGCAUAGAGUAUUGUUGACUUGUUAUGGUACGAGAUUGAUAUGUAGAGGGCUAUUGGUGACAGAUUCAUCCUUGAGGUGAUAUAUUUGUGAUGUGAUGCAUUCCAUGAUAGCAUACGUUAAAAUGAACUGUUUUCUUUUAUGGUUUCUGCUCACUGGGCUUUUUAGCUCACCCCUCUCCCCUAACCCCAGGUUUGCAGGGUCAGAGGUAGUUCAGGAAGACGGCAAGAUAUGGUUAUGGUCAUGAUAUGUAAUAGAAUAGUAGUGGACAUGAUGUAAUGUAAGGUUAUGUAUUGAUGUAAAAAGAGUUGUAUUGCAUAAUGAUAUUAUGUUAUAUGUUCAGAGUUAUAGUAUUGUGCUUGGCCCGAGUUGGAUAAUCCCUUUGUACAUG